UACCAGCACCCCGAGUGGUCGGGACGUUUAUUGGGCCUAAAGCAUCCGUAGCCGGUUCUACAAGUCUUCCGUUAAAUCCACCUGCUUAACAGAUGGGCUGCGGAAGAUACUAUAGAGCUAGGAGGCGGGAGAGGCAAGCGGUACUCGAUGGGUAGGGGUAAAAUCCGUUGAUCCAUUGAAGACCACCAGUGGCGAAGGCGGCUUGCCAGAACGCGCUCGACGGUGAGGGGAUGAAAGCUGGGGGAGCAAACCGG
rnacentral:rRNA from 1 species